GAGAACAUCAGCGAAGGGAAAGUGAAGAUUGCAGGUACUCUCUCUCUCUUAUCUCUUUUAAUAUCAUGUUAUAUUGUGGAAUGUAACUCUGCUGUAACUGAGAAUCACUUAGAUUAAUUCACUGUUAGAAACUAAUUAUUGAUUAUCUCAUCAACCGAUUUUGUUGGUUCAGCAUAGAGAUUUAUCAUAUGUACACAUAUUUUUUCUGAAAGGGCAUGGAGGAGGAGUUGAUUGCAGGGAAAUAACUUGAAAAUUGUUUUACAGAAAAAGUAAGAUAAUAAUAUAUGAAUACUUCUGCUGUCGAUCUUGAACUAUCAACAUCAAUCCUGCAACUCCUUUUUUUUUUGUUCAGAUCUUUGGAAAGUCUUAUCUUUGCUAGACUCGAAAUGGCUGCUGGGAAAUAUCAAGAAUCCUACUCUUUAUUAGAGGAUGAAUCAUCAACACAUCAUUGCAAAGAAGGAUGGCAUGAUUACCUGAAUUCUGUUACUUUGUUAUUUAUUCUCUGAUUGCUUCUGUAAAGCACUAUACAUAAAGGGUAGUAUUGAUAUUGCAUAGGAUAAGUUAGUUAGAAUAUUCUUUGCCUGUUGUAUAUAUUUGGACGAGCUGCAUCACUAAUACACACGAGGAAUUUCUCUUUACAAUUCUGUUUUCCUCUAUUUCACAUUCGUUUGUUACAUGGUAUCAGAGCAGCCGAUCAAUAGCCAAUGCUCAUAAAGAAACUGAUUCUCAGUCUUUCGACGAUACAAACCCCAAAAACAAAUACCUCAAUUUCUCUGACCCUUUCAAUCCAUUCAGAAUUGAGAAUGGUGAUAACCCAGCUGCUGCUCUUGUUUCUGAACUCUUAACUACUGAUAAUUAUGUCAGUUGGUCUCGUGCGAUUUCUCGAGCUCUUCGCGCGAAGAACAAACUUGCAUUUGUUACUGGUACAUUGUCUAAACCUACUGAUAUCUCAGAUCCUCUUUUUGAAGCUUGGGAGAGAUGCAACGACUUGGUCGUUUCAUGGCUACAGAAUUCUGUAAGUCCUUCUGUCAAAUCUAGUCUUGCUUUAGUUGAGGAUUCAAGAGUACUGUGGCUGGAACUCAGAGAUCGUUUUACCCACCAAAAUGGCCCUCGAAUUUUCCAACUGAAACGUGAUUUAGCCAGCUUAUCUCAAAACCAAGACAAUAUCAGUACCUAUUUUGGUCACCUCAAAACAUUAUGGGAUGAACUUGCUAUCUAUGACCCUCUUCCCGAUUGUUUGUGUGGGAAAUUAAAAAUCCUUCAUGAUCGCUAUGACCGUGACUGUGUCAUUCAAUUCCUUAUGGGUUUAUCUGAUGCAUACUCAAACACCAGAGAUCAGAUAAUGCUACUUGAUCCUCUCCCAUCCCUUAACCGUGUGUUCUCCAUGAUCCAACAACAAGAACGACAACAUUUGAUGAUUCCUUCUAUCAAAUCCCCUGACCUUAUGGCAAUGAUGGUCAAACCAAUUUUUAACUCUAGCAAAAAUUUCUCCAAGUCUACUUCCCAGAAAACUAAUCGCCCAUGUUGUUCUUACUGCAAGCUUCCUGGUCAUUCUCUUGAAAACUGUUUCAAGGUUGGAAAUGCUGAUCCACCACAAUGCACUCAUUGUAAUAUGACUGGCCACAUUGCGGAAAAAUGUUAUAAACUGCAUGGCUACCCACCUGGUCACAAACUCCAUGGAAAAAAUAAAGGUAUUGCAGCAACUGUUACUCAAUCCCGAGCACUCUCGGAUGAUGAUCAUGAGGAGGAUUCAACAGAAUCAAUGAUGCUUACCAGGAGUCAAUACCAACAAUUACUUUCUCUUUUGUAUUCCAAGGAGACUAGUUCAGCCAUGGCUUUACUAUCUGUUACACAACCAUCUUCUUCCUCUCCCAAUCCUCAUGUCAGCAACUCUCGUGUUUCUGGUAUGGCUACUUGCUUUAGCACAAGCACACACUCAUCUUCUCCCACACACAUCUCACCUUGGAUUAUUGACACUGGUGCCACGGAUCAUAUGAUCUGUUGUACCUCCCUUUUUACGUCUAUCACAGCCACUGUUUCCUAUCAAGUUAAACUUCCAAAUGGUCAAGAUGUUCCUGUUACCCACAUUGGUGUCGUAAGAUUAUCUAAGCAUCUUGUAUUAAAUCAUGUUUUGUGUGUGCCUUCCUUUAACUUCAACUUGCUUUCUGCCAAGAAACUUACUCAACAUCAUUCUUGUUGUCUCAUAUUUUUAUCCAAUGCUUGUUUUUUUCAGGACUUAGCCUCAUGGACAACGAUUGGGAUGGGUGAAUUUAGAACCGGUCUGUAUCACCUUCUCAGGUCUCGGGUGUCACCCUCUGCUUUGGUUGAUGCACUGCCUCAUCUUCAUCCCUCAACUUCAUUUCCUUCUGCUUCCGCUACUCACACUACUUCAUUGUGUGAUUUAUGGCAUUAUCGUUUAGGACACAUUUCUCUUUCUAGAUUAGCUUUAAUCACUGAUCCCAUUAUCACACACAAUCAAACAUUUCAUAAUCCAACACCAUGUUCCAUUUGUCCUUUGGCUAAGCAGCGUCGUGUUUCUUUUCCAACUUCUACAAAUUCUACUUUACAUAAAUUUGAUCUUGUCCACUGUGAUAUAUGGGGUCCCAACUCAGUUAUUGCAGUGGAUGGAUCACGUUUCUUUCUUACAAUUAUUGAUGAUCACUCUCGGACAACAUGGGUUUAUAUGCUUAGAAAUAAAUCUGAUACCAGGUCUUGUUUUAUGACUUUUUACAGUCUAAUUGAAACUCAAUUUCACACUAAAAUCAAAACCAUUAGAAGUGACAAUGGAGCUGAGUUUCGCAUGACAUAUUUUUUUCAAGCUAAGGGCAUCAUCCACCAAAGGAGUUGUGUCGACACACCCCAACAAAAUGGCAGGGUCGAGCGAAAACAUCAACACAUAAUGAAUAUUUCCCACGCCUUAAUGUUUCAAUCCCAUCUUCCCCCCCAAUAUUGGACUGACUGUGUUCUCACAGCAACCUACCUUAUUAAUCGAACUCCUACCCCUCUUCUUCAUAACAAAACACCCUAUGAAUAUCUCUUCUAAACUCCUCCCCAAUACAAACACUUGAGAGUUUUUGGUUGCCUUACAUAUGCUUCUACCUUGUCAUAAGGGCGUAAGAAAUUUGAUCCUAGAGGCAGAGCAUGUGUGUUUUUAGGUUAUCCUUUUAGGGUUAAAGCAUAUAAAUUACUUGAUCUACAAAGUGAUCAAAUUUUUUUAUCCCGGGAUGUUCAUUUUCAUGAAUCUAUUUUUCCCUUCCAUCCUUAUUUUUCACCUUCUGUUUCACCUUCCCACUCUAUUCCACCUCCUUUCCAUUCUUCACUGCCUCAUUCUAUCUCUAUUCCUCCUCCACCAUCAUCUCCUCCAUUACUCCCCCCCAUUACUCCUUCACCUGACAUUUCCAAUUCCCAGUCUUCAUCCCCACAUUUUUUAGCUCCCAAUUCUCCUCUUUCUACUCCUUCCCCACCACAGCCUUUACAUUCUCCUUCUUCUUUAGUUUCACCUUCUCACAGGACAACUAGAACCAGGCGUGCUCCUGAGUACCUGCAGGAUUACCAUUGUCAUCAGACUACUCUAACUGCACCUAUCCCACCGUUGGACCAGCUGCUAUGUUCCCCUUCAGGUACAACUUCCCCUCUUCAUAAUACUAUUUCUUACCAGCAUUUUUCUCCUACUUAUAAAGCUUUUUCCACUACUAUUUCCACUCAUAUUGAACCAAAAACAUAUAAGCAAGCUCUUAAAGAACUCAGAUGGUGUCAGGCCAUGGACACUGAAUUAGCAGCCUUGGAGGUAAAUCAAACUUGGCAGCUUACGGAUUUACCUCCUGGAAAAGUUCCCAUUGAUUGCAAAUAUGUUUAUAAAUUAAGUAUCAUUCUGAUGGGAGUGUUGAACGUCUUAAAGCAAGACUUGUGGCUCGCGGUUUCACCUAACUUGAAGGGUUGGACUAUCAAGAGACUUUUUCUCCUGUGGCUAAGUUGGUUACCGUGAGGUGUCUUUUAGCUACUGCAUCAGUUAAAGGUUGGCAUUUACAUCAAUUCGAUGUAAAUAAUGCAUUUUUGCAUGGGGACUUGCAUGAAGAUAUUUAUAUGAAUAAACCUCCUAGCUACCCCAAAGGAUCCCCUACUCAAGUCUGUAAAUUGCUCAAAAGCUUGUAUGGUCUCAAACAAGCUUCAAGGCAAUGGUAUUCAAAAUUUUCUAAUGUUCUUUUUGUUGCAGGUUUCUCUCAAUCCAAGGCUGAUUAUAGUCUUUUCACCCGUGACAUUAAUGGCACAUUUGUUGUUAUCCUUGUUUAUGUUGACGAUAUACUGGUUGCAAGCAGUGACAUUACUGUUGUGUAAGAAUUGAAAUCCAUUUUUCACAGGCAUUUUCAGAUCAAGGACCUUGGCCCCUUAUGCUACUUUCUCGGCAUAGAGGUUGCAAGAUCCUCCAAAGGCAUUUAUCUCUGCCAGAGGAAAUAUACACUAGAUAUUCUUGUAGAUUCUGGCACCUUAGGCAGCACCCCUGCUAAGGUUCCAAUGCAACAAAAUCUCAACCUUACUCAGACCACUGGCACUCCCUUAUCUGAUCCCAGUAUUUAUCGACGUCUUAUUGGUAGGUUCCUUUAUCUUACAGUCUCUCGGCCUGAUAUUUGUUAUAGUGUCAACAAUUUGAGCCAAUUCAUGGCUAAUCCUACUGAUGCACAUUUACAUGCAGCUCACAAAGUUCUUUGUUACCUUAAGGGUGCACCAGGCCAGGGGCUUUUGUUCUCUAGUUCUUCCUCUUUACAUUUUGAAGUUUAUUGCGAUUCUGAUUGAGGUUCUUGCCCUGAUACCAGACGUUCUAUUAGUGGCUACUGUAUUUUCCUUGGCUCUUCCUUGAUCUCUUGGAAAUCUAAGAAACAAUCUGUGGUCUCUAAGUCUUCGGCAGAGGUCGAAUACCGUUCCAUGGCUGUCACCUGCACUGAAUUAACCUGGCUGAAAUACAUUUUGUCUGCACUCCAUGUCCAGCAUUUUCAACCAGUUUUCUUACACUGUGACAACCAAGCUGUUAUCCAUAUUGCGGCAAAUCCAGUAUUCCAUGAGAGGACUAAACACAUUGAACUCGACUGCCAUCUCAUUCAAGACCAGAUUCAGGUCGGCCACAUCUGCACUCGUUAUGUCUCCAACUCCAAUCAACUUGCUGAUAUCAUGACAAAGGCUCUAUCAUCCUUUGUUCUCAAUUUUCACUUAUCCAAGAUGGGAGUCGUAAAUUUUUACUCUCCAUCUUGCAGGGGGGUAUUAGAGGAUGAAUCAUCAACACACCACGUCACUGCAGAGAAGGAUGGCAUGAUUACCUGAAUUCUGUUACUUUGUUAUUUAUUCUCUGAUUGCUUCUGUAAAGUACUAUACAUAAAAGGUAGUAUUGAUAUUGCAUAGGAUAAGUUAGUUAGAAUAUUCUUUGACUGUUGUAUAUAUUUGAACGAGCUGCAUCACUAAU
rnacentral:lncRNA from 1 species